rnacentral:rRNA from 1 species
CAGCACCUCAAGUGGUCAGGAUGAUUAUUGGGCCUAAAGCAUCCGUAGCCGGCUCUGUAAGUUUUCGGUUAAAUCUGUACGCUCAACGUACAGGCUGCCGGGAAUACUGCAGAGCUAGGGAGUGGGAGAGGUAGACGGUACUCGGUAGGAAGGGGUAAAAUCCUUUGAUCUAUUGAUGACCACCUGUGGCGAAGGCGGUCUACCAGAACACGUCCGACGGUGAGGGAUGAAAGCUGGGGGAGCAAUCCGGAUUAGAUACCCGAGUAGUCC